CUCAGCUCACAAAGAAAACCAUUUCAUCACUAAAAGAAAACCCUCAUCGUCAUCACCCUCAGCUUGCUCGUCAUCGAUCACCCGCAGAAAACCCUCCUGCCUCGCGAAUCGGAGCUCACCACUGACCUCCACUCACCACUCACCGUCACACAGCACUCAACACUAACCACUGACUGAACGCUCGAAGCUAAGUCGACCUCAUCUACCUUCGUAGUCCCUGCUCUCACCACUGACAGAUCGUAGCGCGCCGCCCAGACCGUUCAUCUACCUUCGUAGUCCCUGCUCUCACCAUCACUGGUCACCAUCGUCGUAUCUGCGCUCAUUGUCGCCACUCAACCAAGUUGUCUCUGCUCUCACCGUUGCAUGUCACCCUUGUUGUCUCUGUGCCGACCGUCGCCGCGCGCCUAUCAUCAUCGUUCUCUCUGCUCACCAUCGUCGAGAAGGCAAGACGAGCUUUGAGGGCAGUGGUGAGGCUGCAGGCUAUAUUUCGCGGAAGGCUAGCGAGGAAGCAAGCUGCUGUUACUCCAAGGUGCAUGCAGGCUCUUGUUCGAGUUCAAGCUCGCGUCCACACUAGGAAUGUGAGGAACUCUCCAGAAGGGAAAGCCGUGCAGACACUAUUAGAUCAGUACCGCAACCAAGCUGAUCCUAUCAAGAAGGCUGAGGAUAAUUCUGAAGAUGUGAAUGAAGAUUGAGAUGCUUAUCAUAAUGAUUUAUUGACAAAGGUGGAAAUUAAAAGAUGUAUGGUUGAUGAUGAUGUCUUUUAUUAGAAGCUAAGAUACAUUUAUAUGAUAUAAUAUUUUGAUUUUUUCUAGUUUAUUAGUAGUAAACUCUAAGUGCAUUAUA